GAAAGAGGAUGGAUCUGAUGGAGAGUUUGAAUAUUUAGGACGGAGAAAACAGCAGGGUUCUGGGGAUGAAGAGGAUUUAGGUAAUACCAGUAGCAAAGAUAAAGUGGAAAGUCAGCCAUUUUCAAGAGUUGUCCUGGAAAAUGAUGAUAAUAGAUCCGCAGGAGACAACAAUGCCAUAUUUGAGCCUUCUGAUCCUGUUACUCCGAUGGAAAAAGGGCUUAUGAGCCUGAAGCCUAGCUCGGGGGAGAAUGGUGAAUGCAAGAGGCAUCAGAAAGGUGAGACGAAGAAUGGAUCAAAUAAGGAGGAGAAGAAAGGGAAAGGGAGAAAAUCAGCUAAAGUUACUGCCAAAGAAGAGGGAGAAGAUAUAGAUGAAGACUAUUCCUAUCUUCUGGAGAAAUUUAUAUGUAAGAAUUGGAGCACGACACCCUCAUUUAUGAGGAAAUAUAAUCUAAAAAGUAAGAAAUCAUUAACGACUGUCCUGGAAAAUGUUAGCAAUAUAUCUGUGGGAGACAAAGAUACGACCCAUGAGAUCUCUGAUACACUAUCUCCAAAAAAAAAGAAGAAAAGGGGGCUUACAAGCCAGAAAAAUAGCACGAAGGCAAAUGGUGCAUUCAAGAGGCAGGAGAACAGUGACAAAAGGAAAAGAUCAAACAAAAAGCAGGCGGGCCGGAAAAGGAGAAAAUUAGCAGAUGUCCCUUUAAACGAAGAUUUAGCUGGGAGAAAAUCAGUAGAUGUCACUGUCAAAGAAGAGAUAGCUGAUGUAGAUGAAGUCUCAUUUAAAAGUGGUAACAAAUUUGAAUGCGAGGCUGCUGAUGAAGAUCUUCAAAUAGUUGUCAGUGGUGAUCGUACAUUUGGAAAGGAAGGAGACUCUAAUCUCGUGGAAGCUUCUUUAUCAAAACACUGUGAAAAUGUUGAGGAUAGCUUCCCAAGGAAAAGUGAGCGUUCUGAUUUUUGGUGGAAUGUAAAGGCUCUUCUUGAGAGGCCUUACGAUCAGAAGGAAUAUAUCGCAUUAUGGAAAGCUGUCAAAAGUAGAAAGCCUACUCUAAAGGAUAUGGACUUGCGUAAUGGGAAAUUUUACUCGACGAGGCGGUUGGGAAAAUCAUAUUUGGAUCAUUAUAAAGACCUUCAUGAAAAACUUAAACAAGUUGACAACGACAACAUAAAGCAGCUAAACAUCUUGCGCAGUUUUUUCUUUUGGUUACAGAAUCUCACACAAAAAGGAGCCUUCAGGCCGUGGACAGAUCCGGAGUGGCUCUCAUUGGUUGAUAAUUCUAUUGUUCCAAUGAUUACUUCCGAUGAAUAAUCAAGCUGGGACAAUUUGGUGAAAUAUGUUACCAAAGUAUGCUAUGCUGAAGUCAGAAAUUAUACAGUGUGUUGUCCGUUUUAGUAGUGGAUUGUCGUGCUGUCUUUUUCUUUCUUAUAACAUUGUAGUACUCCUCUGGAAGAUUUCACCCCUCUCAGUCUGGUAUAAUGCCCGUAAACGUGUUAUAUUAAACUGGCUGCUGUUGAUUUACCUGAAGUUACUUCUUUAG
rnacentral:misc_RNA from 1 species